AAACGUAAGGAGACGAGCGUUAUCGGAGUUUACUGGGCGUAAAGCGCGUGCAGGCGGCAUGGCAAGUUGGAUGUGAAAGCUCCCGGCUUAACUGGGAGAGGUCGUUCAAUACUGCCAGGCUUGAGAGUGGUAGAGGGAAGCGGAAUUCCGGGUGUAGUGGUGAAAUGCGUAGAUAUCCGGAGGAACACCAGUGGCGAAAGCGGCUUCCUGGCCCAUUUCUGACGCUCAGACGCGAAAGCUAGGGUAGC
rnacentral:rRNA from 1 species